GACAGAGGGUGCAAACGUUGCUCGGAAUUACUGGGCGUAAAGCGCGUGUAGGUGGAUUGGUGUGUCAGAUGUGAAAUCCCUGGGCUCAACCCAGGAACUGCACCUGAAACUACCAGUCUUGAGUGGUGGAGAGGGAAGUGGAAUUCCUGGUGUAGAGGUGAAAUUCGUAGAUAUUAGGAGGAACACCAGUGGCGAAGGCGGCUUCCUGGACACCAACUGACGCUGAGACGCGAAAGCGUGGGGAGCAAACAGG
rnacentral:rRNA from 1 species